rnacentral:rRNA from 1 species
GAGUUUGAUCCUGGCUCAGGACGAACGCUGGCGGCGCGCCUAACACAUGCAAGUCGAACGAGAGAGAAGGAGCUUGCUUCUUCGAUCGAGUGGCGAACGGGUGAGUAACGCGUGAGGAACCUGCCUCAAAGAGGGGGACAACAGUUGGAAACGACUGCUAAUACCGCAUAAGCCCACGGGUCGGCAUCGACCUGAGGGAAAAGGAGUGAUCCGCUUUGAGAUGGCCUCGCGUCCGAUUAGCUAGUUGGUGAGGUAACGGCCCACCAAGGCGACGAUCGGUAGCCGGACUGAGAGGUUGAACGGCCACAUUGGGACUGAGACACGGCCCAGACUCCUACGGGAGGCAGCAGUGGGGAAUAUUGCACAAUGGGGGAAACCCUGAUGCAGCGACGCCGCGUGAGCGAAGAAGUAUUUCGGUAUGUAAAGCUCUAUCAGCAGGGAAGAAGAAAUGACGGUACCUGACUAAGAAGCACCGGCUAAAUACGUGCCAGCAGCCGCGGUAAUUC